UUUCACCAUUUUAUUUCCAUGGUUCUUUUUCUUUCAGAUUUCAAGUGAAAAAAACAUCAACAACACAUUGCUUGAGGUCAAACAAAGAUGUCCCAGUUCCUUUACAAGCUUAUUAAACUCCUUCCUAGCCUCUCAGAUUUAGCAUGUUGUGACACAGAGAUGGAGAAAAGUUUCAAAACAAGAGCUGGAAGAGAUUAUUCAGUUUGUACACCUGCAUGUGCCUGGAGGAGGGGGGGCAGGGACCUAAACGGUUUGCUUCAGCCAGAGUUCUGCUAGCCCUAAAAGUGCAUUCAGAAAACAGGUUUAUUCUUUGGUCAAAAUAUUUCUCGUGAAAAUAUUUCUCUGCCUAGUGAUGGGGAGCUGCAACCAGAAAUCAGGCGGGGAUGCAAACCCUGGCAGAUUUUAUGUAUUAGAGCUGUUUGCCUGGAAAAUGCCAGCCUGUGUCUGCCUGGAGUGAACCCACGGCCAGCAGGACAGGCUGGGAUGCACAGGGUGUACCUGCAGCCUACCCAUGCCCGACGCAAAAUUGCUGCAAGCUCCUUAUCGCCACGAAUCUCAGGUCUCGCCCCCGCCCAAAUUGAUUAUUGAAAAAUCAAGCUGAGCCUGAAAAGUGAUGUCUGUGCUCCUGGCUGCGUCUAAUCCCCCUUAUUUCAUCAAAGAAGGACAAGACUCUGCAUAAAUAAAUGUCGUUGACCCUAUCUGCCCGCAGCAGUAGCCUGUGCAUUCCCAAGAGCCUCAAUUAGCCUGGCUGUGCCAGGGAGGGCUGCUGCUAAAUCCGCAGCCCUGGUGACAUUGCGCAUGGAUUAACUGCUAUGGCAACCCCGGCGGGACCCGGGGUGCCAGCACCAGGACAGACAGACAGACUUCAGUUUUCAACUUCCCUGCUGAAAGCCAACGCCCCUUCUAUCCCCUGUGGAGCAAUAUAUAUUUGUCAGCACCAGCUCUGCUUUUGCUUUGCAUGUUCUAAAAAUGUCUGAAACAAUCCAAUCCUGCAGCCUUGAAACGUUAAUCCAGAUUUUUGAUCUCAAAGCGAUAGAUUUUUUUCCCUAUCAGUCAGGUUGUCCUCUGCUGCCAGGAGGAGGGUAGGUGGGUUCAGGGCUCAGGGAUUUCAGGUUUGUUUCUUUUUUGCCACAGCAGCACCCCAUGGUGGGCAGGAGCUCUGUCCCCCCACUCCUCCCAGCCCCUUGGUGACAAAGAGAGCUCAGGGAGCGUGUAAAUGAUGGAGACGUGCUCACAGCCAGCACUGCAAUUCCAGCCCAACCCUCUGAAAACGUUUGCAUUUCCCAAACACACCUUUUUUUUGUUGGUGUUUGGAAGGGGUGCUAGCUCUGCUGUUGGUUACGGAGGACAUUUGCUGCUCAAGGGGGGGUCCGUGCAGCCCAAAUACCCAGGACAUCCUUACCCUAAACGAUGACUUUCACCCAAGUGAUAACACCACUGGUUAACGCAGCAGCCAUGUUCCUCUGCUCCUCCUCGGCCACCCCUGGGGUUGGGGAGAAGCAGCAGCAACCCCCCCACGGGUCUCAAAAGUGUCACCCCCUUCCCUGUUGGAAGGCAAGAGCUCUGCUUUCCCCUGAUGCUGGGAUGCCCCAGGCCCUGGGGUGAUCUUUUCUGAGCAUGGUGUGUGCCCGCAGUCUGCUGGAGGAGCUGCUUGGCAGGGCCCGUGAGAUGCCUGCAAUGGGAAGCUGGAGGUCAGCAGCUUUAUCAGACCAAGACUUGCAGGAUUGCUUUGCUCGAUCGUGCUUUUUGAGUGCUUUAUGGUGGGGACAUGGCUGGUAACACGUUGUGUUUUGGCAAAGCAAAUUCAGACACCAGAGGUCAAAUCCCAGCACCGUGGCAGAGCCAGGCCCUCGCGUCUCAUGCUGCUGCAGCUCCACAUCAGCAAAACAUCUGGGCUUGGGGUUUGCGUGCUGUACAAAGCAAAAGCAGCUUUCCUUAUUUCUUGGCAGGAAUUAAUUGCCAAUAUUGUGCACGGCAAACGCUUUGCAAGAGGUGCUGCCCCAGGCACCCGCUGCCUGUCAGGAGCAGCCCUCCCUGUGCUGCCCAGGCUGCAAGAGGCCAGGAGGGUUUUCCAAGGGAAAAUUCCCCCGUCUGGGGAAUGUCUACCCGGAGCAAAUUGUCACCAGCUGCUGCAUGAGGAACCCCAGCAAGAAGGAGUUUCUCCAAAGCAUCUUCGGGAUUGGAAGGAGGAGGAGAGACGACGGCGUGCCGGCCAGCUGGGGAUCAGAUGUAAAAUGGCAUAAAUGGUGAAGCACAACUUUGCUGGAUGAUAUUUCCUUGCUGGCUAUGCAGGCAGCCAAGGAGAUGUCAGCUCAGAUAGGGCCAUGUGUGGAGAUGGGAUUAAGGAGAAGACCUCCUAGGCAGCAGCAGCACUGGGGUGUGCAGACUAAACAAACCCCAUUCCUCCAGCAUUUCCUAAUAAGCUAUGGUUACUAAACCUCAUCUUAUCACUCGUACUUCUCCUCUGGACUUCCUCCAGCUCGUCAACAUCUUUCUUAGCUCGGCGGCCCAAGGCAGGCAGGGCAUUGCAGUCCCAGCACCAGGCUGAGAACAACGCACCCACGUCUCCCACCACCGAGGAUGCUGCACAUAUGUUGCGACCUGGCAUGCAUCGUCCCACCAACCCAGAACACGGGCCUUUUCUCAUCUUUUUUUGCUCACUUUUGCCCCAUUUUGCACUUAGGUGUGCA